rnacentral:rRNA from 1 species
UACAGAGGAGCCAAGCGUUGUCCGGAUUGACUGGGCGUAAAGCGCACGCAGGCGGUCGGGCGCGUGGGGUGUGAAAUCUGGCCGCUUAACGGCCAGGCGCCAUCCCAUACGGCUCGACUGGAGUGAUGCAGAGGUCGAUGGAAUUGCCGGUGUAGUGGUGAAAUGCGUAGAGAUCGGCAGGAACACCCAGGGGGAAACCAGUCGACUGGGCAUCUACUGACGCUGAGGUGCGAGAGCGUGGGGCGCGAACCGG